rnacentral:lncRNA from 1 species
AGCCGAUCGGUAAAACAAGCGUACCCGUUUGAACGCCGCCCGCGCGCCGCUUUAGCUACUGUAGCCGCAGCCUCUUAGCACAACAUGCUAGCCCUCUCUAAUAAAACACCGGCGAGAACGCUUCCUGCUCAACAGAACACCGUUAACACGUUUGUGUACUGACGUCUUAAACACACGGAACCGAGUUUUAGAGAAAUUAAGAUGUGCAGCUUUUUUUUUUAAAGUCGGGAUUCGCUCAGAAGUCGUGACACCGAGUGCUAGCCUACGACGGGCUCGUCAAGGCCACGGCGGAGUUCGCUAGUUUGGGUCAGUGGAUCUUCUCAGACACGUUCAUUUUCCUGCUGAUGGCUCUAGAGUUGUCUGCUUCACCGGGUCGAGGCCCACCGGCUGUGUCCUGGGUGUGUUUGUCUGCCUACCUCCACAGUGGAACUUCUACGCGGUCCGCAGAUAAAAGACGGCAGUGUAGGCAGACGGCGAGUCAGACACAUCAGGGUCACUCAUCUGUAACAGUAACCAAGCAGUGUAUCACACCAGCCCGCUACACCAUAAGCCUGCACCAUGCUGCGAGAUAUACCUGAGGACUGUCAUAUUGUCCACAAGCAGCUCUGCACUGGGACCCACAGAUGGCUCAUUCUGAGCCGACACAGACUGGUCUAUCAUUGCCUUGUCAGAGAGAUGGGCUGUGCUACAGCUCCAGUUUUUGCACCGUAGAUCUGUUCAAUCAUGUAGAGAGCUGAAAAAAAUGCAUAGCAUGGCUAAUCACAUGGCCUGUGAAUAUGUGGGAUGAUUUAUUCUGUGACAUAUAGCAUUACGCUUGGCAUUUCCCCUCCAAAUGCAUUUGCUAUUUCUAGAUAACAGCUAUCAGAAGAAAGAAGAUGAUGUUUAUAUGCUGAACUGAGAGUACAGUAGGAAGAUGCACAGUAAUGAUGCAGUUAGGAAAAACUUCAUUUCUGUGGCUGUUUCAUGGUGGAAUGAGUUGCUGAGCUGAUUUUAUUGCUGAACUGUCUUUUCCAUUUGAGGCCUGACAAAGUCUUUU